ACUCAUCAACCCUGUGAACAUACCUAAAACGUUGCUUCGGCGGGAACAGACGGCCCCGUAACACGGGCCGCCCCCGCCAGAGGACCCCUAACUCUGUUUUUAUAAUGUUUUUCUGAGUAAACAAGCAAAUAAAUUAAAACUUUCAACAACGGAUCUCUUGGCUCUGGCAUCGAUGAAGAACGCAGCGAAAUGCGAUAAGUAAUGUGAAUUGCAGAAUUCAGUGAAUCAUCGAAUCUUUGAACGCACAUUGCGCCCGCCAGUAUUCUGGCGGGCAUGCCUGUUCGAGCGUCAUUACAACCCUCAGGCCCCCGGGCCUGGCGUUGGGGAUCGGCGGAAGCCCCCUGCGGGCACACGCCGUCCCUCAAAAACAGUGGCGGUCCCGCCGCAGCUUCCAUUGCGUAGUAGCUAACACCUCGCAACUGGAGAGCGGCGCGGCCAUGCCGUAAAACACCCAACUUCUGAAAUGUUGACCUCGAAUCAGGUAGGAAUACC
rnacentral:rRNA from 1 species